rnacentral:rRNA from 1 species
UGUGGGGGGCAUUCCACGUCAUCCGCGCCGGCAGCUAACGCAUUAAGUGCCCCGCCUGGGGAGUACGGCCGCAAGGCUAAAACUCAAAGGAAUUGACGGGGGCCCGCACAAGCGGCGGAGCAUGCGGAUUAAUUCGAUGCAACGCGAAGAACCUUACCAAGGCUUGACAUGGGCCGGGCCGGGCGAGAGAUCGUCCUUCCCUUCGGGGCCGGUUCACAGGUGGUGCAUGGUUGUCGUCAGCUCGUGUCGUGAGAUGUUGGGUUAAGUCCCGCAACGAGCGCAACCCUCGUUCCAUGUUGCCAGCGGGUUAUGCCGGGGACUCAUGGGAGACUGCCGGGGUCAACUCGGAGGAAGGUGGGGACGACGUCAAAUCAUCAUGCCCCUUAUGUCUUGGGCUUCACGCAUGCUACAAUGGCCGGUACAAUGGGUUGCGAUACUGUGAGGUGGAGCCAAUCCCAAAAAGCCGGUCUCAGUUCGGAUUGGGGUCUGCAACUCGACCCCAUGAAGUCGGAGUCGCUAGUAAUCGCAGAUCAGCAACGCUGCGGUGAAUACGUUCCCGGGCCUUGUACACACCGCCCGUCAAGUCACGAAAGUUGGUAACACCCGAAGCCGGUGGCCCAACCCCUUGUGGGGGGGAGCCGUCGAAGGUGGGACCGGCGAUUGGACU